rnacentral:rRNA from 1 species
UGGGGAAUAUUGGACAAUGGGCGAAAGCCUGAUCCAGCCAUGCCGCGUGUGUGAAGAAGGUCUUCGGAUUGUAAAGCACUUUAAGUUGGGAGGAAGGGCAGUAAGCGAAUACCUUGCUGUUUUGACGUUACCGACAGAAUAAGCACCGGCUAACUCUGUGCCAGCAGCCGCGGUAAUACAGAGGGUGCAAGCGUUAAUCGGAAUUACUGGGCGUAAAGCGCGCGUAGGUGGUUCGUUAAGUUGAAUGUGAAAGCCCCGGGCUCAACCUGGGAACAGGAUCCAAAACUGGCGAGCGAGAGUAGGGCAGAGGGUGGUGGAAUUUCCUGUGUAGCGGAGAAAUGCGUAGAUAUAGGAAGGAACACCAGUGGCGAAGACGACCACCUGGGCUCAUACUGACACUGAGGUGCGAAAGCGUGGGGAGCAAACAGG